rnacentral:rRNA from 1 species
UUACGGGUGGCUGCAGUGAGGAAUAUUGCACAAUGGGGGGAACCCUGAUGCAGCAACGCCGCGUGGAGGAUGACGCAUUUCGGUGUGUAAACUCCUUUUAUAUGUCAAGAAAAUGACGGUAGCAUAUGAAUAAGCACCGGCUAACUCCGUGCCAGCAGCCGCGGUAAUACGGAGGGUGCAAGCGUUACUCGGAAUCACUGGGCGUAAAGGACGCGUAGGCGGGUUGGAAAGUCAGGUGUGAAAUACUACAGCUUAACUGUAGAACUGCACUUGAAACUUCUAAUCUAGAGUAUGGGAGGGGGAGAUGGAAUUAGUGGUGUAGGGGUAAAAUCCGUAGAUAUCACUAGGAAUACCUAAAGCGAAGGCGAUCUCCUGGAACAUUACUGACGCUAAGACGUGAAAGCGUGGGGAGCAAACAGGAUUAGAUACCCUAGUAGUC